AUGACUCCAUCUUAUAUAUUCCCCAUCUUCACUCUUUCUUCAUUAUCUGACAGUUCUAGAGAUUAGAAGUCUAGAAUGAUCCUAGCUACCAGACCAGGAUCAAGGAGUUGGCAGGGCUGCAUUUCUUCUGGAGGCUCCGUGGAAGUAGCUUGCCUCUUCCAGCUUCUCAAAGUCAGUAAUGGUAGUAAAUACCUUGGCUAUAGAGGUCCUUGAAUGUAUAUUUACUGCUCCAUCUUUUCUCAAGACUACAUUUGAAUACAGUAUGUGUGUCUGGACCAUCAAGACAUAAUAGGUUCCAGUUGCACACCCUUGCCAAGCACCAAGGAGAGCUGUGAGCUGUGAGCUGUGAGAAGCCAACCCAGGAACAUGCAGCACCUCUAUGCAGACCUAACACAGCCAUUCAGGCACUGAGCAGAAGUGCCUGCCCUGUGUGUACAGAUGCUUUAAAUCAAAAUGGUGAUUCAUAAGAUAAUUAGCAUUAAGCCCUUGCAGACUCAGUGCCUCACUCUAAGAUAACCAAAGUGUCUUUGCUAUUGCUAAUUAAAUCUAAGAACAUAUUUUUCACAUAAAAUCCCUACAGUCUAUAGAAAA